GUUGAACGCUGGCGGCAGGCCUAAUACAUGCAAGUCGAGCGGAUGAACGGGGCUCGUGCCUGUCUUCAGCUGGCGACGGGUGGGUGAGUAACAGGAAGAUGACUUGCAUAUAGGGAUGAGGUCCGUAAAGGAGCGCGGAGAUAACACAGGAUAAGAGAUAGAAAGGGGGGGAUCAUCAGAGCUCGAGGGAUUAGCUGACACUACGACGGAUUAGCUAGUUGGUGGGGUAAGGGCGUACCAAGGCGACGAUCCGUAACUGGUCUGAGAGGAUGAUCAGUCACACUGGAACUGAGACACGGUCCAGACUCCUACGGGAGGCAGCAGUGGGGAAUAUUGGGCAAUGGGCGAAAGCCUGAUCGAGCCACGCCGCGUGUGUGAAGAAGGUCUUCGGAUUGUAAAGCUCUUUUAGUUGGGAGGAACAGCUGUGAGUUAAUCCCUUGCUGUCUUGACGGUACCAACUCAAUAAGCACCGGCUAACUUCGUG
rnacentral:rRNA from 1 species